UCACUAACCCUUUCCCCAAGUGAUCCACGUUCUUUCAUUCUUUACCAUUCAUUUACACUCAACAAUUCACCACACAUUUUCAAUAGUAUAACGCAGAGAGGGAGAAAAGGGGGAGACAAGAGACUGAGAAACAGGGGAAGAGGGAGUAAGAGAGCACGAGAUGCAGAGGGAAGAGGGGAAAGGGGGAGCAGCGCCGGUGGGUGUCACUACCACCGUCGCUGCUAUUGCUAUCGAAUAGAAGAUGGAGGGAGGCUGUCGCACUUCUAGCCGCCGCUGUUGAAGCUCUCCUCACCACUAUCAACGUCGGUUAGGGUAGAGGAGAAGAGGAAGAAUAACGGAGAAGAGAGACUGACGGGGAGGGUAAUACGGUUGCUGUUGAUUUGGAGCUGCUACAAGAACGGCAGUUCCUGCUUCUAAUCCCUGUCCUUUUGAUUUUUUUGGAGCUGCCGUGGAUGGAGCUUGUCAUCAGAGAAAGCAAGCUGCCGCUACCAACUCUCAAUUAAGCUAGGAUCCUUCUCCUUGUUUUGAUUCCAAUUUCCCCAUUUUUGAAACCGUCGAGUAUUGAAGCUGGUGCUGCCAUGGGACGGUUGAAGCCAUUACUGAUUCUGAUUUUGUUAUAUGGUUCUUGCUUUGUCUUGAAUCCCUAGGGCUAAAAUUGCUUUUGAUUCCUCUCCAAUUUGAAUCCUCUAUUUUACUGCAACCAUGGUCAGUGCUGCGAAGGCUAAUAUUGUUGCUGUUCCGGUUGCGUGAGAGUUACCGCUGCUGCCCUGAAACUAAAAGAGAAGAGAGCUGUUACGUUAAAGUAUGCGAUUGCGACAUCGAGUGACACAGGUUUGAAGAUGCAACAUGAAGCUGCAAGCGAUUAGUAGGCUUUCUUUAUGGUUUUAAUUCCUUUCAUAGAGUCCCCUCGCUCUUGUCCUUUGAGGUUUUAUUUUAACAGAGGGGUAGGUGUUAUAUUUGGGUUUAUAUGACUUCUUAUGUAUAAGAAUUACUAUUAAAAAUACUUAUGUGAUUAUUAUUAUUAUUUGCAAUGUUUAUCCUUGAUAUAUGUCUUUAAUGAAUAAAAA